GAGAGCCUGAAAACUCAACCCUUAGUAACCACAGCGAGUACAGCAAUUGGAGGCAAUUGUUGCGUCUGUGUUAUUCUUGCGCUAGUAGAACGUGGCUGCAGGACAUAUCGUGGAGUUGGGUCAACAUGAUGACUGUCGCGUGUACUCGUCUGCUCCUGGUGGCUCUCACCCUCCUAGCUGUCUUCCACGCAGCCGCCUCGUUUUUUUGCUGGACAAAGGAGAAGGGUGACGACGCCACGUUUUUCACCUUCUGCAGCACUGCCACCUGUUACGCCGUGGGUAAAGCGAACACCCUGGAAAGUGCGAUGGGCUGUAGUAACAUAGAACGCGAAGAUGAAUGCAUAUCCAACCCAACGGACCCCUCGAUCAAAACCUGUUACUGCAACUUUCCCUUUUGCAACUCCGCCUCCUCCCCUUCCGUCGUCUUGCCCAUGCUGGUGCUGCCCGCCCUUCUGCAGCGUCUGUUCACGUGAAGAAAAGUCCUGGUGAUGAAACAAGAUGCUGUGGAGAUGAGUUUUAAUUUUAUUAGUGUUGGAUAGUGUCUAUCUUAUGAAAAGUUUUGUUGUCGUAAUUAAUCUCAUAAUCCUGGAAAAGUAUGAAUCAAGUUUUACACUUGAAAAUGUGUAGUUAAAUCUUGUAUAAAGUAAAAAAUUUCCUCAUGGAAUGAUAUGGCAAUAGCUGCACAUAAAAGCUUUAGCGAUAAUUUUAGAGAUAAUUUUGAUUUCAGAGAAGGUGAUGUGGUCAAUAUUUUGCGUAAAGCCGAAUCUGAUACGAGCUUAAUGAACCCUUAGAACGACACCCUCAUAAACUCACUAUAAUUUGCCUGUAUUAUAUUUUUUUUAUUGUUGGAAACGAUACUUCAAAGAGCUCAAAUCUUUUCUUUUUUUUUAUUCAUUCUCAAGUCCGCCAAUUCCUUCUCUGACCGCCAAAGGUGCUAACGCGGAGUAAUUUGCAACUCGUUCUGCAUCUUUCGGGUUUUCUCUCCCAUUCAUGAGUCUGUUACUGGACCCCAAAUAAUAAAACAAAUCUGCUUGUAGUUCUGUUUGUCCACUGGUAAUGAAAGCUACGUUUGUUUAUGGUUUGAGCAAUAUCUAGCGAGUUAUUAACCUUUUUUAUUGUUUUGUCCAGACUGUUAUUUCGCAUAAUUUAAGCUUUAUGUGUAUACUUAGAUUAAUUUACGCAUUUUUAUUGAUAUUAAAUAAAAUCAUUUGCCUAACCCAUUAAAUUUAAUUAUUUGACUGACUAACCCAAAGUAGGGCUGUCCAGUUAUGAAAUUGUCACAAGGUUGUUCAUAUUUUCCCAGUUUGUCUUGAAACAGUAGAGAUUUAUAUAAUCAAAGUAUGUAAAUUGUUAUGCCCUGCCCAACAAAUGUAAGGGUAAGAGGCUCUUUUCUAUUAACGUUCCCUUGAGAAACUUCGCCUCGAAGGAAAAUUAAUUAAAUGUUUAUAAAUUA